rnacentral:rRNA from 1 species
AACGAACGCUGGCGGCAGGCUUAACACAUGCAAGUCGAAGGAGAAGCAGGACUUCGGUUCUGUGGACACUGGCGAACGGGUGAGUAACGCGUGGGAACCUACCCUGGGGUGGGGGACAACCACUGGAAACGGUGGCUAAUACCGCAUACGCCCUCCGGGGGAAAACUUUUGUGCCCUGGGAUGGUCCCGCGUCGGAUUAGCUAGUUGGUGGGGUAACGGCCUACCAAGGCGACGAUCCGUAACUGGUCUGAGAGGAUGAUCAGUCACACUGGAACUGAGACACGGUCCAG